UGGGGAAUUUUGGACAAUGGGCGCAAGCCUGAUCCAGCAAUGCCGCGUGCAGGAUGAAGGCCUUCGGGUUGUAAACUGCUUUUGUACGGAGCGAAAAGGUCUGCCCUAAUACGGUGGGCUCAUGACGGUACCGUAAGAAUAAGCACCGGCUAACUACGUGCCAGCAGCCGCGGUAAUACGUAGGGUGCGAGCGUUAAUCGGAAUUACUGGGCGUAAAGCAUGCGCAGGCGGUUAUAUAAGACAGAGGUGAAAUCCCCGGGCUCAACCUGGGAACUGCCUUUGUGACUGCAUAGCUAGAGUAUGGUAGAGGGGGAUGGAAUUCCGCGUGUAGCAGUGAAAUGCGUAGAUAUGCGGAGGAACACCGAUGGCGAAGGCAAUCCCCUGGACCUGUACUGACGCUCAUGCACGAAAGCGUGGGGAGCAAACA
rnacentral:rRNA from 1 species